rnacentral:rRNA from 1 species
UACCAGCACCCCGAGUGGUCGGGACGUUUAUUGGGCCUAAAGCAUCCGUAGCCGGUUCUACAAGUCUUCCGUUAAAUCCACCUGCUUAACAGAUGGGCUGCGGAAGAUACUAUAGAGCUAGGAGGCGGGAGAGGCAAGCGGUACUCGAUGGGUAGGGGUAAAAUCCGUUGAUCCAUUGAAGACCACCAGUGGCGAAGGCGGUUUGCCAGAACGCGCUCGACGGUGAGGGAUGAAAGCUGGGGGAGCAAACCGG